UACGAAGUGGGCUAGCGUUGUUCGGAAUUACUGGGCGUAAAGCGCACGUAGGCGGGUUGUUAAGUCAGGGGUGAAAUCCUGGAGCUCAACUCCAGAACUGCCUUUGAUACUGGCAACCUAGAGACUGGAAGAGGUUAGUGGAAUUCCCAGUGUAGAGGUGAAAUUCGUAGAUAUUGGGAAGAACACCAGUGGCGAAGGCGGCUAACUGGUCCAGCACUGACGCUGAGGUGCGAAAGCGUGGGGAGCAAACAGG
rnacentral:rRNA from 1 species